rnacentral:lncRNA from 1 species
GGCGGGGGCGGAGCCUGGGCCCGAAACGCCACGGGCGCGACUCUGUGCGCGUCCGCCCACACGGGGGCGCUGUGUCCUCGCAAGCUCCCGCGGGGUGCCUCGCGGCCCUGGAACGCUGUGGUUUUCGAGGGGAAAAGUGAGAGUGGCUGGUCCUGCCUCCGCUGCCGCUUGGCCCUGAGAUCCCCACUGCCCACGGGAUAGGCCCCAGUCCACCCAGCCGGGGCCCCCCCCUUCCCCUCGUCUCGCUCUCCUUGGCAGUUCGGACUUCGGGUCAGUCCCACACUCGCGCCCGGCUGUCCCUGCUGCGCUCCUGUCACUGGCAUUGGGAAGCCCUCCGGCCCCCUCUCUGCACACCUGGCACACGGCUCCUCCCUGGCGGCAUAACCAUCUCCCUCACUUUGGAGCACAGACCAGCGAACUGGGCCAUCUCUCUGGGUACCACCUCAGCUAGGAUAUUUGAGGGGCAGGAACCAGGGGUCUGUGGCCUAGGAAGAGCAAGACCACGGUCCCCUCCUCACCUGGCUGAUCUGGAUAUUGGUACCUUGGGCAGCCGAAGAAGACUCUGUCCCCACCCGCGGCUGUGAGAUCUGCUGUCAGCGCCACUUCCAUCUUGCUCCUUAAACAGCAUGAAAGGCUUGGAGCCCAAGUGAGAGGCCCAGCCAGGGCAGAGGCCUGGUUCUGGUCCUCUAGGUGGGUCACCUUCCCCACACCGGACCCCGCUUCCUUCACCUGGCUGGUACAAAGGUCAGAUCUUGACAGCUCCUAGCUGCUGCUAAAUGCCAACACAGAAGGAGGCAGUAUGGCCCCCAGGAGUUAGGAACACAGGUUCCAAGCAGCCUGAUUUCAAAUCCUGGUUCCAUCUCUCACUAGCUGGCCAAGGGACUUGCCUCCUCUGUGGAAGUGGUCUUGGAAGUGGGCUAGCACACCUAUCCCAGUCUCACAGGCUACUGUGAAGGCAACAUGGAACGCAGAGUGUGAACACAGUCCCUGGUGCAAUAAGCUCUUGCUGCAUCUCUCUUCUGUUUGUCUAACAUGGCUCGAGUGGGGAGGCUAAAGACAAGCGCAGCCUCAGAGGACACUGGCAGCCGGCAUGGGCCACAUGCACAGCUGACUUCAUGAAGGGUCCCACCACCACUGCUGUGCAUGCCAGUGUCUCCUCAGGGGCCAGGCCGAGGGAGAAGAUUCACUCUGGCAGCAGGGACGGCUGGGGCCUCUCAGGCUAGAUGGAAUCCCCAGCAUCAUCUCCGCCCCCUCCCACUGUCCCCUUGACAUGACUACAGGGGACUGUCCCUAAUGGAAGGACAAUGCUGCUUGCCCCACAAGGAGCUCAUAGUUAGUCUGAACUAAAGCACUGGACCAAGAUGACCAUCCUAGUCAGCCCUGCCUCCCAUAUCAUUACAGCACGGAGAUCCAGUCUGAACUAGCACAAGGAGCAAGUGCUGGGAACAGCGUCCGGGUACUUAGCCCCACCUCAGGCACCACGGAGCCAGCAGGGAAGGACAGGCCUGGCAAGGGCAAGAACGCAGCUCUCAUCCUACUGGGAAGGCACAUUCCAGUAAGGUGCACUGCCCAGUGCUGCACUUGCCCUUGCUGCUUACUUAGUGGGCGAACGCAGAGAUUCGGCCAGAGAGAUAGGGACACUUCAGAGGGACACUUCAGAGAUAGGGACACACGAGCCAACUGACAAGAGCUCUCACUGGCCAAAGCUGGCUCAAUUUGAGCAACAAAAUAAAUCUACUAAAGUAUACAAUGAACUUCCGUAAGUCCAUUCUGAUACAAUCUUCCAUGCAGAAUCCCAAAUAAUUUUGGUAAAUACUCAGUUCUCUAGAGGUGAGCAUAACCCCUGCCACUUAAGUGUGGGCUGCAUAUAGUGACUUCCUUCCAAAGAAUUCAGUAUGGAAAGGCAGCAGAGAGUAACUUUACAGUGAGAAGACCCGACAAACAUGACCUCAGCCAAAGGGUCAAGCUCACCAUCAACGAUGAGUCAUGUUGCUAGCAUGUGAUGAGAACCACACAUGAUACGAUGUGAUCAGAACCACAUUUCACCUCUAGUCUUCCUCUCCAUAACCCACAAUCCCAGUCUACUCAUGAGAAAAGCAUCAGACAAACCCCAACUGAGGGAUGUUCUACAGAUACCUGAUCAGUCCUCCUCAAAACUGUCAGGGUCAUCAAGAACAAGGAAAAUCUAAGAAGAUGUCACAGCCAAGAGGCAUCUAAGGAGACAUGACAACUAGUUGUAAUGGGUUAUCCUGGAUGGGAUCCUGGGACAGAAAAAGGACAUUAGGUAAAACUGAGAAAAUGUGAACGCAGUAGAAUAAUGCAUCAGUAUUGGUCAUUCACGGUGACAAAUGUGCUAUCUGAUGUAACACGUUAACAAGAAGGGAAACUGGGUACAAGAUACAUGGGAACUCCCUAUUGUAUGUUCACAAUGACUCUGUACAUCUAAAACUGUUCUGAAAAGUUUAUUUUUAAAAAACUUAGAGAGAGAGAGAGAGAGAAUCAAAAUAACCUAUGAAGAUUUAUAGAAAAC